UUGACAUCCAGAGAAUUUAGCAGAGAUGCUUUAGUGGCCUUCGGGAACUCUGAGACAGGUGCUGCAUGGCUGUCGUCAGCUCGUGUUGUGAAAUGUUGGGUUAAGUCCGCAACGAGCGCAACCCUUAUCCUUUGUUGCCAGCACGUAAUGGUGGGAACUCAAAGGAGACUGCCGGUGAUAAACCGGAGGAAGGUGGGGAUGACGUCAAGUCAUCAUGGCCCUUACGAGUAGGGCUACACACGUGCUACAAUGGCGCAUACAAAGAGAAGCGACCUCGCGAGAGCAAGCGGACCUCAUAAAGUGCGUCGUAGUCCGGAUUGGAGUCUGCAACUCGACUCCAUGAAGUCGGAAUCGCUAGUAAUCGUAAAUCAGAAUGUUACGGUGAAUACGUUCCCGGGCCUUGUACACACCGCCCGUCACACCAUGGGAGUGGGUUGCAAAAGAAGUAGAUAGCUUAACCUUCGGGAGGGCGUUUACCACUUUGUGAUUCAUGACUGGGGUAAAGUCGUAACAAGGUAGGCGUAGUGCU
rnacentral:rRNA from 1 species